rnacentral:rRNA from 1 species
AUUGAACGCUGGCGGCAGGCCUAACACAUGCAAGUCGAACGGUAACAGGAAGAAGCUUGCUUCUUUGCUGACGAGUGGCGGACGGGUGAGUAAUGUCUGGGAAACUGCCUGAUGGAGGGGGAUAACUACUGGAAACGGUAGCUAAUACCGCAUAAUGUCGCAAGACCAAAGAGGGGGACCUUCGGGCCUCUUGCCAUCGGAUGUGCCCAGAUGGGAUUAGCUAGUAGGUGGGGUAACGGCUCACCUAGGCGACGAUCCCUAGCUGGUCUGAGAGGAUGACCAGCCACACUGGAACUGAGACACGGUCCAGACUCCUACGGGAGGCAGCAGUGGGGAAUAUUGCACAAUGGGCGCAAGCCUGAUGCAGCUAUGCCGCGUGUAUGAAGAAGGCCUUCGGGUUGUAAAGUACUUUCAGCGGGGAGGAAGGGAGUAAAGUUAAUACCUUUGCUCAUUGACGUUACCCGCAGAAGAAGCACCGGCUAACUCCGU